rnacentral:rRNA from 1 species
GACGAACGCUGGCUGCGUGCUUAACACAUGCAAGUCGAACGGAAAGGCCCUGCUUUUGUGGGGUGCUCGAGUGGCGAACGGGUGAGUAACACGUGAGUAACCUGCCCUUGACUUUGGGAUAACUUCAGGAAACUGGGGCUAAUACCGGAUAGGAGCUCCUGCUGCAUGGUGGGGGUUGGAAAGUUUCGGCGGUUGGGGAUGGACUCGCGGCUUAUCAGCUUGUUGGUGGGGUAGUGGCUUACCAAGGCUUUGACGGGUAGCCGGCCUGAGAGGGUGACCGGCCACAUUGGGACUGAGAUACGGCCCAGACUCCUACGGGUGGCAGCAGUGGGGAAUAUUGCACAAUGGGCGGAAGCCUGAUGCAGCAACGCCGCGUGCGGGAUGACGGCCUUCGGGUUGUAAACCGCUUUCGCCUGUGACGAAGCGUGAGUGACGGUAAUGGGUAAAGAAGCACCGGCUAACUACGUGCCAGCAGCCGCGGUGAUACGUAGGGUGCGAGCGUUGUCCGGAUUUAUUGGGCGUAAAGGGCUCGUAGGUGGUUGAUCGCGUCGGAAGUGUAAUCUUGGGGCUUAACCCUGAGCGUGCUUUCGAUACGGGUUGACUUGAGGAAGGUAGGGGAGAAUGGAAUUCCUGGUGGAGCGGUGGAAUGCGCAGAUAUCAGGAGGAACACCAGUGGCGAAGGCGGUUCUCUGGGCCUUUCCUGACGCUGAGGAGCGAAAGCGUGGGGAGCGAACAGGCUUAGAUACCCUGGUAGUCCACGCUGUAAACGGUGGGUACUAGGUGUGGGGUCCAUUCCACGGGUUCCGUGCCGUAGCUAACGCUUUAAGUACCCCGCCUGGGGAGUACGGCCGCAAGGCUAAAACUCAAAGGAAUUGACGGGGCCCCGCACAAGCGGCGGAGCAUGCGGAUUAAUUCGAUGCAACGCGUAGAACCUUACCUGGGUUUGACAUGGAUCGGGAGCGCUCAGAGAUGGGUGUGCCUCUUUUGGGGUCGGUUCACAGGUGGUGCAUGGCUGUCGUCAGCUCGUGUCGUGAGAUGUUGGGUUAAGUCCCGCAACGAGCGCAACCCUUGUUCACUGUUGCCAGCACGUUAUGGUGGGGACUCAGUGGAGACCGCCGGGGUCAACUCGGAGGAAGAUGGGGAUGACGUCAAGUCAUCAUGCCCCUUAUGUCCAGGGCUUCACGCAUGCUACAAUGGCUGGUACAGAGAGUGGCGAGCCUGUGAGGGUGAGCGAAUCUCGGAAAGCCGGUCUCAGUUCGGAUUGGGGUCUGCAACUCGACCUCAUGAAGUCGGAGUCGCUAGUAAUCGCAGAUCAGCAACGCUGCGGUGAAUACGUUCCCGGGGCU